CGGUACGGAGGUGCAGGCGGCGGGGGGAAUAGGUGGGGGAGGAGCUGUGAGGGGAGUAGCUGGGCGCAAAGGGCGGGCAGGGGGGCUGUCAUGGGUGCGGUGAAAGCGCCCGGCUUAACUGGGAGAGGUCCGUGCAAACGGGUGGGCUUGAGCGUCGGAGAGGGGCAUGGAAUUCCGGGUGGAGCGGUGAAAUGCGUAGAGAGCCGGAAGAACACCAAUGGCGAAGGCAGUGCCCUGGCCGACGGCUGACGCUCAGGCGCGAAAGCGUGGGGAGCAAACAGGAUUAGAUACCCGGUAGUC
rnacentral:rRNA from 1 species